rnacentral:rRNA from 1 species
CCUACGGGUGGCAGCAGUGAGGAAUAUUGGUCAAUGGCCGAGAGUCUGAACCAGCCAAGUCGCGUGAAGGAUGACUGCCCUAUGGGUUGUAAACUUCUUUUGUAUGGGAAUAAAAUGUUCCACGUGUGGGAUUUUGUAUGUACCAUAUGAAUAAGGAUCGGCUAACUCCGUGCCAGCAGCCGCGGUAAUACGGUGGAUUCGAGCGUUAUCCGGAUUUAUUGGGUUUAAAGGGAGCGUAGGUGGAUUGUUAAGUCAGUUGUGAAAGUUUGCGGCUCAACCGUAAAAUUGCAGUUGAAACUGGCAGUCUUGAGUACAGGAGAGGUGGGCGGAAUUCGUGGUGUAGCGGUGAAAUGCUUAGAUAUCACGAAGAACUCCGAUUGCGAAGGCAGUUCACUGGACUGCAACUGACACUGAGGCUCGAAAGUGUGGGUAUCAAACAGGAUUAGAUACCCGGGUAGUC